rnacentral:rRNA from 1 species
AUACGAAGGGUGCAAGCGUUAAUCGGAAUUACUGGGCGUAAAGCGCGCGUAGGUGGUUUUGUAAGUUGGAGGUGAAAGCCCCGGGCUCAACCUGGGAAUUGCCUCCAAAACUGCAUGACUAGAGUACGGUAGAGGGUAGUGGAAUUUCCUGUGUAGCGGUGAAAUGCGUAGAUAUAGGAAGGAACACCAGUGGCGAAGGCGACUACCUGGACUGAUACUGACACUGAGGGGCGAAAGCGUGGGGAGCAAACAGGAUUAGAUCCCCUGGUAGUCCACGCCGUAAACGAUGUCAACUAGCCGUUGGGAUCCUUGAGAUCUUAGUGGCGCAGCUAACGCAUUAAGUUGACCGCCUGGGGAGUACGGCCGCAAGGUUAAAACUCAAAUGAAUUGACGGGG